GAUGAACGCUAGCGGCAGGCUUAAUACAUGCAAGUCGUGGGGCAGCAUGAGUAGCAAUACUUGAUGGCGACCGGCAAACGGGUGAGGAACACGUACACAACCUUCCUUCAAGCGGGGAAUAGCCCAGAGAAAUUUGGAUUAAUACCCCAUAAUAUAUUUGAUAAGGCAUCUUAUUAAUAUUAAAGCUUCGGCACUUGAUGAUGGGUGUGCGGCUGAUUAGAUAGUUGGCGGGGUAACGGCCCACCAAGUCUACGAUCAGUAGCUGAUGUGAGAGCAUGAUCAGCCACACGGGCACUGAGACACGGGCCCGACUCCUACGGGAGGCAGCAGUAAGGAUAUUGGACAAUGGACGAAAGUCUGAUCCAGCCAUGCCGCGUGAAGGAUUAAGGUCCUCUGGAUUGUAAACUUCUUUAUAUGGGACGAAAAAGGGCAUUCUUGUUCACUUGACGGUACCAUAUGAAUAAGCACCGGCUAACUCCGUGCCAGCA
rnacentral:rRNA from 1 species